AUGUGCAUUUUUUAUUUAUUUUAUUUAUUUAUUAUUUUUUUUUUUUGAACCAUUUCAAACUGUCGUCAGGCUUAGGUUCCUCAAUAUAUCCAGCUCAUCGAUUUAGCUCUGGAUGUUUGUUGUAAGGGCUUUGUUUCAUGUGUUAUCAUAACACAAACAGUUAAGAGACAGCUUGUAGACAGCUUCAUUAGAAAUUUCUUUCCCAGAAUCAAAGAUUUUACAUCCUAGGCCUGGAUGUUAACCUUGACAUGGACAAUCUUACAGAUAAUAAUAGAAGAGUCACCUGAAAUUGCAC